ACAUGCAGUCGAGCGAAUCUGAGGGAGCUUGCUCCCAAAGAUUAGCGGCGGACGGGUGAGUAACACGUGGGCAACCUGCCUGUAAGACUGGGAUAACUUCGGGAAACCGGAGCUAAUACCGGAUAAUCCUUUUCUACUCAUGUAGAAAAGCUGAAAGAUGGCUUCGGCUAUCACUUACAGAUGGGCCCGCGGCGCAUUAGCUAGUUGGUGAGGUAACGGCUCACCAAGGCGACGAUGCGUAGCCGACCUGAGAGGGUGAUCGGCCACACUGGGACUGAGACACGGCCCAGACUCCUACGGGAGGCAGCAGUAGGGAAUCUUCCGCAAUGGACGAAAGUCUGACGGAGCAACGCCGCGUGAGUGAUGAAGGUUUUCGGAUCGUAAAACUCUGUUGUUAGGGAAGAACAAGUACCGUUCGAAUAGGGCGGUACCUUGACGGUACCUAACCAGAAAGCCACGGCUAACUACGUGCCAGCAGCCGCGGUAAUACGUAGGUGGCAAGCGUUGUCCGGAAUUAUUGGGCGUAAAGCGCGCGCAGGUGGUUUCUUAAGUCUGAUGUGAAAGCCCCCGGCUCAACCGGGGAGGGUCAUUGGAAACUGGGAGACUUGAGUGCAGAAGAGGAAAGUGGAAUUCCAAGUGUAGCGGUGAAAUGCGUAGAGAUUUGGAGGAACACCAGUGGCGAAAGCGACUUUCUGGUCUGUAACUGACACUGAGGCGCGAAAGCGUGGGGAGCGAACAGGAUUAGAUACCCUGGUAGUCCACGCCGUAAACGAUGAGUGCUAAGUGUUAGAGGGUUUCCGCCCUUUAGUGCUGCAGCAAACGCAUUAAGCACUCCGCCUGGGGAGUACGGCCGCAAGGCUGAAACUCAAAGGAAUUGACGGGGGCCCGCACAAGCGGUGGAGCAUGUGGUUUAAUUCGAAGCAACGCGAAGAACCUUACCAGGUCUUGACAUCCUCUGACAAUCCUAGAGAUAGGACGUUCCCCUUCGGGGGACAGAGUGACAGGUGGUGCAUGGUUGUCGUCAGCUCGUGUCGUGAGAUGUUGGGUUAAGUCCCGCAACGAGCGCAACCCUUGAUCUUAGUUGCCAGCAUUCAGUUGGGCACUCUAAGGUGACUGCCGGUGACAAACCGGAGGAAGGUGGGGAUGACGUCAAAUCAUCAUGCCCCUUAUGACCUGGGCUACACACGUGCUACAAUGGAUGGUACAAAGGGCUGCAAGACCGCGAGGUUUAGCCAAUCCCAUAAAACCAUUCUCAGUUCGGAUUGCAGGCUGCAACUCGCCUGCAUGAAGCCGGAAUCGCUAGUAAUCGCGGAUCAGCAUGCCGCGGUGAAUACGUUCCCGGGCCUUGUACACACCGCCCGUCACACCACGAGAGUUUGUAACACCCGAAGUCGGUGGGGUAACCGCAAGGAGCCAGCCG
rnacentral:rRNA from 4 species